rnacentral:rRNA from 1 species
AGAAGCUUGCUACUUUGCUGACGAGUGGCGGACGGGUGAGUAAUGUCUGGGGAUCUGCCUGAUGGAGGGGGAUAACUACUGGAAACGGUAGCUAAUACCGCAUAAUGUCGCAAGACCAAAGCGGGGGACUUUCGGGCCUCGCACCAUCAGAUGAACCCAGAUGGGAUUAGCUAGUAGGUAGGGUAAUGGCUUACCUAGGCGACGAUCCCUAGCUGGUCUGAGAGGAUGACCAGCCACACUGGAACUGAGACACGGUCCAGACUCCUACGGGAGGCAGCAGUGGGGAAUAUUGCACAAUGGGCGCAAGCCUGAUGCAGCCAUG